UAUGGAACUGGGGUGUGGGUCUUUUGUCGAAAUGGCCUUACUUUUUCUUUUUAUUUAUCGUGAAGGAAAAAAAG
rnacentral:tRNA from 1 species